AUUGAACGCUGGCGGCAGGCCUAACACAUGCAAGUCGAGCGGCAGCACAGUAAUAGCUUGCGCUUACAGCUGGCGACGGGCGGGCGAGUGCUGAGUACCUCCCAGUCUACUGUUUCAAGGUGGGGAACGUAGCGCUACUAACGCUAAUGCCGCGUACGACCUACGGGGGGAUCCAGGGACUCUUCGCACCUUGCUCGAUCUAGUGAGCCGAGGUCGGAUUAGCUAGUUGGUGGGGUAAAGGCCUACCAAGGCGACGAUCCGUAGCUGGUCUGAGAGGAUGAUCAGCCACACUGGAACUGAGACACGGUCCAGACUCCUACGGGAGGCAGCAGUGGGGAAUAUUGGACAAUGGGCGAAAGCCUGAUCCAGCCAUACCGCGUGGGUGAAGAAGGUCUUCGGAUUGUAAAGCACUUUUGGUGGGGAAGAAAAGCAGUAGGUUAAUACCUCGCUGUUUUGACGGUACCCAAAGAAUAAGCACCGGCUAACUUCGUG
rnacentral:rRNA from 1 species